rnacentral:rRNA from 1 species
AUGGAUUAAGAGCUUGCUCUUAUGAAGUUAGCGGCGGACGGGUGAGUAACACGUGGGUAACCUACCCAUAAGACUGGGAUAACUCCGGGAAACCGGGGCUAAUACCGGAUAAUAUUUUGAACUGCAUAGUUCGAAAUUGAAAGGCGGCUUCGGCUGUCACUUAUGGAUGGACCCGCGUCGCAUUAGCUAGUUGGUGAGGUAACGGCUCACCAAGGCGACGAUGCGUAGCCGACCUGAGAGGGUGAUCGGCCACACUGGGACUGAGACACGGCCCAGACUCCUACGGGAGGCAGCAGUAGGGAAUCUUCCGCAAUGGACGAAAGUCUGACGGAGCAACGCCGCGUGAGUGAUGAAGGCUUUCGGGUCGUAAAACUCUGUUGUUAGGGAAGAACAAGUGCUAGUUGAAUAAGCUGGCACCUUGACGGUACCUAACCAGAAAGCCACGGCUAACUACGUGCCAGCAGCCGCGGUAAUACGUAGGUGGCAAGCGUUAUCCGGAAUUAUUGGGCGUAAAGCGCGCGCAGGUGGUUUCUUAAGUCUGAUGUGAAAGCCCACGGCUCAACCGUGGAGGGUCAUUGGAAACUGGGAGACUUGAGUGCAGAAGAGGAA